CUAGCCCUUUGGUGGAAAAUACCCACCAUCAAUGUGUAAUAAUUACACUCAUAAUAAUAAUGUAAUAAUUAAUCUAGUAAUGCCACGCCCACUGCGCAUGCGCAGUUCAGUUCCAAAUUAAUCCAGCUGCAAAUGGCUUCCUUCUCUUUGUCCUCCAUUACUGCCAGUCUAUUUUUUGGCCGUUUAGCUCUUAGUUUUGCCUCUGUAUUCUUUGAAAUCCCCAGAAAAUUAUCUCAUUUUCGAAGCCCGCUUCCAUGUCAGCAGCUAUUUCUGUGACUCUUCCUUCAGGCUGUCCCCUUAGGCUAUGAUUUGUGUCUAGACUGAUUGAG